ACUGACUCGCUAGCCCAACCAAUCAAAAACAACAAAACACAAUAACUAAGCCCAAAGACACGAGCUGUCUCCACGAACAAACCAUUUUUCCCCCCUAGUAUGGGCGACAGAAAAGGGACAUGGAGCGAUAGAGAGAGUACCGCAAGGGAAUGCUGAAAAACCAAAUGAAAUAAACAAGUGAAGCCCAAAAAAGCAGAGAUCACACCUCGUACCUUUUGCAUCAUGAUUUAGCCAGUGCAACCCAAGCAAAGAGCACUUUAGUUUGACAACCCGAAACUUUGUGAGCUACUCCAAGGCAGUCUAAUUAAUAGGACCAACCCGUCUCUGUGGCAAAAGAGUGGGAAGACCUUUGAGUAGAGGUGAUAAACCUACCGAACUUAGUAAUAGCUGGUUGCCCAUCAAUUGGAUAGAAGUUCAGCCUCCCGGCUUCUUUAUUCACCUAGAUUUUUGUAGUCCUACAGAUACCAUAAGAAAACCAGGAGAGUUAGUCGAAGGGGGUACAGCCCCUUAGAAACAAGAUACAACUUUUUUAGGAGGAUAAAGAUCAUAAUCAAACAAGGCAAGAUAUCAGGGUGGGCUUAAAAGCAGCCACCCCAUCAAAAAGCGUUAAAGCUCAGACACUCUAUUUUAAGCCCCAAGUUUCGACCACUGCCUCUUACACCCCUUAUCCUACUGGGCCGUCCCAUGCAACCAUGGGAGCGAUCCUGCUAAAAUCAGUAUAUAAGAGAGUCCAACGGCUCUCUCCCUGCAUACGUGUAAAUCGGAAUCGGACAAUCCACCGAACCUUAACGGACCCAAAAAUAGAGGGGACUGAACCAUAAACAAAACAACUAGAAAAACACCCAAAUAAAUAACCGUUACCCCCACACAGGCAUGCUCUUAGGGAAAGACUAAAAGAAAGAGAAGGAACUCGGCAAACACUCAGCCUCGCCUGUUUACCAAAAACAUCGCCUCUUGCUAAACCAGAAAUAUAAGAGGUCCCGCCUGCCCUGUGACUAUAUGUUCAACGGCCGCGGUAUUUUGACCGUGCGAAGGUAGCGCAAUCACUUGUCUCUUAAAUAGGGACCUGUAUGAAUGGCAUAACGAGGGCUUGACUGUCUCCUCUUUCAAGUCAAUGAAAUUGAUCUCCCCGUGCAGAAGCGGGGAUAGGCACAUAAGACGAGAAGACCCUAUGGAGCUUUAGGCACUAAAGCAGAUCAGCAUUAAUACCCUGAACAUAGGGCACGAAUAUACUAAACCCUGCCCUAAUGUCUUAGGUUGGGGCGACCGCGGAGAAACAAAAAACCCCCGCAAGGACUGAAUGUACUACAUUCACAACCAAGAGCGACAGCUCUAAUUAACAGACACUUCUGACCAAUAAGAUCCGGCAACGCCGAUUAAUGAACCAAGUUACCCUAGGGAUAACAGCGCAAUCUCCUCUUAGAGCCCGUAUCAACGAGGAGGUUUACGACCUCGAUGUUGGAUCAGGACAUCCUAAUGGUGCAGCCGCUAUUAAGGGUUCGUUUGUUCAACGAUUAAAGUCCUACGUGAUCUGAGUUCAGACCGGAGUAAUCCAGGUCGGUUUCUAUCUAUGUAAUGAUCUUUUCCAGUACGAAAGGACCGAAAAGAGGGGGCCUAUAUCCAAAACAUGCCUCACUCCCACCUGAUGAAAGCAGCUCAAUUAGCCAAGGGGGCAUCAUUUCUUUGUCUGAGAGAACGACAA
rnacentral:rRNA from 1 species